GCCCCGGUAGCUCAGCCCGGUCGGAGCGCCGCCUUGGUAAGGCGGAGGGCGCGGGUUCGAAUCCCGCCCGGGGCU
rnacentral:tRNA from 4 species